rnacentral:tRNA from 1 species
CAGGGAAUAGUUUAAAUAGAACAUCAGCUUUGGGUGCUGAUAGUGGGGCUGUUGCUUCUUCCUUGA